UGUUCAAUUUCAGGAAAAAGUUUGAUAUUUAAUAACCGUACCCAAAACCGACACUGGUGAACAAGUCGAAUAGACUCAGGCGUUGAGAUAACCAUGCUGAAGGAACUCGGCAAAAUAUUCCCGUACCUUAGGAAGAAGGGAAACCAAAUAUUGGUGACACAAAAAUGAGGGUGACGACUUUUUACUAAAAAAUUAGGACUCUGCAAAAUGGUAACAUGAAGUAUAGGGUCUGACGUCUGCCCGGUGCUAGAAGCUUAAGAGGAGAGUUGAAAGAUUUGAAUUCAAGGCCUAGUAAACGGCGGUUGUAACUAUAACAAUCAUAAAGUAGCGAAAUUCCUUGCCAGCUAAUUCCUGGCCUGCAUGAAAGACGUAACGAUUGCCCUACUGUCUCCAGCAUGGACUCAGUGAAAUUGAAUUUUCCGUGAAGAUGCGGAAAUCGUGCCCCAAGACGAGAAGACCCUAUGCAUCUUUACUGUACAUUUACAUUGAACAAAGAACUUAAGUAUGUAGGAAAGGUGGGAGUGCUUACAUCCUUGAAAUACCACCUUCUUGAGUUCUUCAUUCUUAUUUGCAUGGCAAAAAAAGUGUAUAUGAGGCAGUUUGACUGGGGCGGUCGCCUCCUAAAGAGUAACGGAGGCGUACGAAGGUAAACUCAAUGAAAGUUGGAAACUUUCUGAAGAAUGUAAUGGUAAAAGUUUGCCUGACUGCAAGACUCAACAAGUCGAGCAGAGACGAAAGUCGGUCAUAGUGAUCCAAAAGUACCGCGUGGAAGGGCUUUUGCUUAACGAAUCAAAGAUACGCUAGGGAUAACAGGCUAAUAAUUCCCAAGAGUCCUUAUCGACGGAAUUGUUUGGCACCUCGAUGUUGACUGAUCAUAUCCUGGGGCUGAAGAAGGUCCCAAGGGUUCGGCUGUUCGCCGAUGAAAAUGGUACCUGAGUUGAGUUUAGAACGUCGUGAGACAGUUUGGAUUCUACCUGGGGUGCGCGUAAGAAUUGAGAAAACUACUUCUUUGUACGAGAGGACCGGAAGUAUUCAACCUCUGGUGGACUGGUUGUUAAGCCAUUAGCAUUGCCAGGAAGCUACGUUGAGACAGGAGAACCGUUGAAAGCAUAUGAAACGGGAAACUUUUUUCAAGACAAAUUCUUUUUUUUCGUGAAAGAUUCUCACGUUGAUAGGCGAAAUGUGUACAAUUUGUAAAAAUUCUAGCU
rnacentral:rRNA from 1 species